CCUACGGGAGACAGCAGUAGGGAAUUUUCGUCAAUGGGCGCAAGCCUGAACGAGCAAUGCCGCGUGAACGAGGAAGGUCUUCGGAUCGUAAAGUUCUGUUGACGGGGAAAAAGAGCGGAGAGAGGAAAUGAACUCCGAUUGAUAUUACGCUUCGAGGAAGUCACGGCUAACUACGUGCAAGCAGCCGCGGUAAUACGUAGGUGGCGAGCGUUAUCCGGAAUGAUUGGGCUUAAAGGGUGUGUGGGCGGCCUGCUAAGUCUGGAGGGAAAGGUACCGGCUCAACCGGUACAGGCUCUGGAAACUGGCGGGCUAGAGAGCAGGAGAGGGCGGUGGAACUCCAUGUGUAGCGGUAAAAUGCGUAGAUAUAUGGAAGAACACCAGUGGCGAAGGCGGCCGCCUGGCCUGUUGACUGACGCUGAGGCACGAAAGCGUGGGGAGCAAAUAGGAUUAGAUACCCUUGUAGUC
rnacentral:rRNA from 1 species